rnacentral:rRNA from 1 species
GGGAUAAGCGGAAGAAAUUCCGUCUAAUACCGCGUAAUAACUCCGAGAGGCAUCUCCUGGGGUUUAAAGGGUAACACCGGCUACGGAUGGCCAUGCGGCGCAUUAGCUAGUUGGCGGGGUAACGGCCCACCAAGGCGACGAUGCGUAGGGGUUCUGAGAGGAAGGUCCCCCACACUGGUACUGAGACACGGACCAGACUCCUACGGGAGGCAGCAGUGAGGAAUAUUGGUCAAUGGGCGCGAGCCUGAACCAGCCAAGUCGCGUGAGGGAAGACGGUCCUAUGGAUUGUAAACCUCUUUUGUCGGGGAGCAAAAGACGCCACGCGUGGCGUUCCGAGAGUACCCGAAGAAAAAGCAUCGGCUAACUCCGUGCCAGCAGCCGCGGUAAUACGGAGGAUGCGAGCGUUAUCCGGAUUUAUUGGGUUUAAAGGGUGCGCAGGCGGAAGAUCAAGUCAGCGGUAAAAUUGAGAGGCUCAACCUCUUCGAGCCGUUGAAACUGGUUUUCUUGAGUGAGCGAGAAGUAUGCGGAAUGCGUGGUGUAGCGGUGAAAUGCAUAGAUAUCACGCAGAACUCCGAUUGCGAAGGCAGCAUACCGGCGCUCAACUGACGCUCAUGCACGAAAGUGUGGGUAUCGAACAGGAUUAGAUACCCUGGUAGUCCACACAGUAAACGAUGAAUACUAAUUGUUCGGG